UACGUAGGUGGCAAGCGUUGUCCGGAUUUACUGGGCGUAAAGAGCGCGCAGGCGGUCGUUCAAGUCGAGUGUGAAAGCCCCCGGCUCAACUGGGGAGGGUCACUCGAUACUGAUCGACUCGAAGGCAGAAGAGGGAAGCGGAAUUCCCGGUGUAGUGGCGAAAUGCGUAGAUAUCGGGAGGAACACCAGUGGCGAAGGCGGCUUUCUGGUCUGCUCUUGACGCUGAGGAGCGAAAGCCAGGGGAGCAAACGGG
rnacentral:rRNA from 1 species